GCUUCCGUAGCUCAGUUGGUUAGAGCUUCGUACUAAUACUCGCCUCUUCGGCAGAGAAUUGGUAAUGCGAAGGUCCACGGUUCAAGCCCGUGCGGGAGCA